CUUCACCGAACCCAACCACAACGGAACAUCGCGACCCUGACCGUACGUCGCCAGCAACGCCUGCGCCUC
rfam:Actinoplanes sp. N902-109, complete genome.